rnacentral:rRNA from 1 species
AGAGUUUGAUCCUGGCUCAGGAUGAACGCUAGCUACAGGCUUAACACAUGCAAGUCGAGGGGCAUCAGGAAGAAAGCUUGCUUUCUUUGCUGGCGACCGGCGCACGGGUGAGUAACACGUAUCCAACCUGCCCUUUACUCGGGGAUAGCCUUUCGAAAGAAAGAUUAAUACCCGAUAGCAUAAUGAUUCCGCAUGGUUUCAUUAUUAAAGGAUUCCGGUAAAGGAUGGGGAUGCGUUCCAUUAGGUUGUUGGUGAGGUAACGGCCCACCAAGCCUUCGAUGGAUAGGGGUUCUGAGAGGAAGGUCCCCCACAUUGGAACUGAGACACGGUCCAAACUCCUACGGGAGGCAGCAGUGAGGAAUAUUGGUCAAUGGGCGCUAGCCUGAACCAGCCAAGUAGCGUGAAGGAUGAAGGCUCUAUGGGUCGUAAACUUCUUUUAUAUGGGAAUAAAGUUUUCCACGUGUGGAAUUUUGUAUGUACCAUAUGAAUAAGGAUCGGCUAACUCCGUGCCAGCAGCCGCGGUAAUACGGAGGAUCCGAGCGUUAUCCGGAUUUAUUGGGUUUAAAGGGAGCGUAGGUGGAUUGUUAAGUCAGUUGUGAAAGUUUGCGGCUCAACCGUAAAAUUGCAGUUGAAACUGGCAGUCUUGAGUACAGUAGAGGUGGGCGGAAUUCGUGGUGUAGCGGUGAAAUGCUUAGAUAUCACGAAGAACUCCGAUUGCGAAGGCAGCUCACUAGACUGUUACUGACACUGAUGCUCGAAAGUGUGGGUAUCAAACAGGAUUAGAUACCCUGGUAGUCCACACAGUAAACGAUGAAUACUCGCUGUUUGCGAUAUACAGUAAGCGGCCAAGCGAAAGCAUUAAGUAUUCCACCUGGGGAGUACGCCGGCAACGGUGAAACUCAAAGGAAUUGACGGGGGCCC